CCCGCUGAACUUAAGCAUAUUAAUAAGCGGAGGAAAAGAAAACAAAUGUGAUUCCCUAAGUAACGGCGAGUGAACCGGGAAGUAGCCCAACGUAAAGGCCCUGUCUUGUAACGAGACAGAGCGAUGCUACGUUUGCGGUGGAGGAACAGUUGCUAACGAGGCUGGAGUGUAAGUUACCUUGAAUGGUACCCCAGAGAGGGUGGAAGGCCCGUAUCACUUUGGACCUCGAUAGCGACGUGACUCCGUCGCUAGAGUCGGGUUAUUUGAGAGUAUAACCCCAAGCAGCAGGUAGACUCCUGCUAAGGCUAAAUACGACCGUCAGACCGAUAGUAAACAAGUACCGUGAGGGAAAGUUGAAAAGAACUUUGAAGAGAGAGUUAAAAGACGUGAAACCGCUAACAGGUAAGCAAAUGCAGCUGCGAAGUAGCUACAGAGGUUUCAGCCGAGACGCGCGGCAGAGGAACUGACUUAACCUCCGGGUGGUUAGGGACUCAGGUUGUGCGACGCGGUGCACUACGCUCUGUAGCAAAUGUUGUGGGGACUUGGCCAGUAGUCUAGCUGAGUGGAGAUGGGGCUUUGACUCUCGGUGGUGAACGUGGUCUUCGGAUUGCAAGUAGUCGCUACAGUUGUCAUCACCGUCUUCGUCUCUAGUCUGCAUACCGAGUCUUGCCUCAAACCCUCCUCGGGUAACAGUGGGGACUCAGUCAGGAAAACUACCUGUCAACGAAGUAAGGCAAGAACGCAACUCAGCCCCCGACACAGGGCACUAACGAAUGAGUUGAGCCGGUCGUUGCGGUCCAAGUACCUGACUAACCCCCCUGACCACAACAGUAGCUGGUCGGUAUUUGUCCCGUCUUGAAACACGG
rnacentral:rRNA from 1 species